CCCUGGUGCCCCAUUAGAACGUUCACACCAAUUAUUCAGAAUGCUCACAUCCUCAACAUAGGUGUGGAACCCGCAAGGGAAGUAAUUAAUGAGUGCUCCCCUGGGUGGCCACCAUUCGUACAGAUGGGGGGAGCAUUUGUACCGCGAAAGUAGACACUUCCUUUGCCAGGGUCUCACACCAGGACCUCGCGAACGGAGACUAGUCGAUCGAGGGACUAAGGUGAGGAUCCCUGAGAUUGGUGUGGGCACUGGCGAGUUUUGGCGGGCUCUCAUGAGCCAGCGAAACAAAGAGACUAGCUCUUUUCCCGAGGGCAGGCUUUUCUGUGCUUGUGAGAAAAAGGGAGGGUCCAAGAUGUUCACAAUCAAUGCUAUUUUAGAUCUCAGUUCUAUAUUAUAACACCAAACCCUGUCAUUGUCCAAUUAAAGCAGGGGUUGGCAACUUAGGCCCAAACCCUGCAAUAUAC